rnacentral:rRNA from 1 species
UACAGAGGUCUCAAGCGUUGUUCGGAUUCAUUGGGCGUAAAGGGUGCGUAGGUGGCGCUGUAAGUCGGGUGUGAAAUUUCGGAGCUUAACUCCGAAACUGCAUUCGAUACUGCGGUGCUUGAGGACUGGAGAGGAGACUGGAAUUCAUGGUGUAGCAGUUGAAAAUGCGUAGAGAUCAUGAGGAAGACCGUGGCGAAGGCGGGGUCUCUGGACAGUUCCUGACACUGAGGCACGAAGGCCAGGGGAGCAAACGGG